rnacentral:rRNA from 1 species
CCUACGGGUGGCAGCAGUGAGGAAUAUUGGUCAAUGGGCGCGAGCCUGAACCAGCCAAGUAGCGUGAAGGAUGACUGCCCUACGGGUUGUAAACUUCUUUUAUAAGGGGAUAAAGUGAGGCACGUGUGCCGUUUUGUAUGUACUUUAUGAAUCAGGCUCGGCUAACUCCGUGCCAGCAGCCGCGGUAAUACGGAGGGUCCGAGCGUUAUCCGGAUUUAUUGGGUUUAAAGGGUUCGUAGAUGGGUUGUUAAGUCAGUUGUGAAAGUUUGAGGCUCAACCGUAAAACUGCAGUUGAUACUGGCAGACUUGAGUGCGGUAGAGGUAGGCGGAAUUCGUGGUGUAGCGGUGAAAUGCUUAGAUAUCACGAAGAACUCCGAUGGCGAAGGCAGCUUA